GAUGAACGCUGGCGGCGUGCCUAAUACAUGCAAGUCGAGCGAACAGACGAGGAGCUUGCUCCUCUGACGUUAGCGGCGGACGGGUGAGUAACACGUGGAUAACCUACCUAUAAGACUGGGAUAACUUCGGGAAACCGGAGCUAAUACCGGAUAAUAUAUUGAACCGCAUGGUUCAAUAGUGAAAGACGGUUUUGCUGUCACUUAUAGAUGGAUCCGCGCCGCAUUAGCUAGUUGGUAAGGUAACGGCUUACCAAGGCAACGAUGCGUAGCCGACCUGAGAGGGUGAUCGGCCACACUGGAACUGAGACACGGUCCAGACUCCUACGGGAGGCAGCAGUAGGGAAUCUUCCGCAAAGGGCGAAAGCCUGACGGAGCAACGCCGCGUGAGUGAUGAAGGUCUUCGGAUCGUAAAACUCUGUUAUUAGGGAAGAACAAAUGUGUAAGUGACUAUGCACGUCUUGACGGUACCUAAUCAGAAAGCCACGGCUAACUACGUG
rnacentral:rRNA from 1 species